rnacentral:rRNA from 1 species
GACGAACGCUGGCGGCGUGCUUAACACAUGCAAGUCGAACGGAAAGGCCCCUUUGGGGGUACUCGAAUGGCGAACGGGUGAGUAACACGUGAGUAACCUGCCCUUGACUUCGGGAUAACUUCAGGAAACUGGGGCUAAUACCGGAUAGGAAUCCUUGCUGCAUGGUGGGGGUUGGAAAGCUUCGGCGGUUUUGGAUGGACUCGCGGCUUAUCAGCUUGUUGGUGGGGUAGUGGCUUACCAAGGCUUUGACGGGUAGCCGGCCUGAGAGGGCGACCGGCCACAUUGGGACUGAGAUACGGCCCAGACUCCUACGGGAGGCAGCAGUGGGGAAUAUUGCACAAUGGGCGGAAGCCUGAUGCAGCAACGCCGCGUGCGGGAUGACGGCCUUCGGGUUGGAAACCGCUUUCAGCAGGGGCGAAGCUUGUGGUGACGGUACCUGCAGAAGAAGCACCGGCUAACUACGUG